UUGAGAGUUUGAUCCUGUUCAGAUUAACGCUGCGCAGCCUAACACAUGCAAGUCGAGCGGUUAGCACAGAGAGCUUGCUCUCGGGUGACGUANCCGCGGACGGGUGAGUAAUGUCUGGGAAACUGCCUGUAUGGAGGGGGAUAACUACUGGAAACGGUAGCUAAUACCGCAUAACGUCGCAAGACCAAAGUGGGGGACCUUCGGGCCUCAUGCCAUCAGAUGUGCCCAGAUGGGAUUAGCUAGUAGGUGGGGUAACGGCUCACCUAGGCGACGAUCCCUAGCUGGUCUGAGAGGAUGACCAGCCACACUGGAACUGAGACACGGUCCAGACUCCUACGGGAGGCAGCAGUGGGGAAUAUUGCACAAUGGGCGCAAGCCUGAUGCAGCCAUGCCGCGUGUGUGAAGAAGGCCUUCGGGUUGUAAAGCACUUUCAGCGGGGAGGAAGGCUAAGGUUAAUAACCUUGGCGAUUGACGUUACCCGCAGAAGAAGCACCGGCUAACUCCGUGCCAGCAGCCGCGGUAAUACGGAGGGUGCAAGCGUUAAUCGGAAUUACUGGGCGUAAAGCGCACGCAGGCGGUCUGUCAAGUCGGAUGUGAAAUCCCCGGGCUCAACCUGGGAACUGCAUUCGAAACUGGCAGGCUAGAGUCUUGUAGAGGGGGGUAGAAUUCCAGGUGUAGCGGUGAAAUGCGUAGAGAUUCUGGAGGAAUACCGGUGGCGAAGGCGGCCCCCCUGGACAAGACUGACGCUCAGGUGCGAAAGCGUGGGGAGCAACAGGAUUAGAUACCCUGGUAGUCCACGCCGUAAACGAUGUCGAUUUGGAGGUUGUGCCCUUGAGGCGUGGCUUCCGGAGCUAAACGCGUUAAAUCCACCGCCUGGGGAGUACGGCCGCAAGGUUAAAACUCAAAUGAAUUGACGGGGGCCCGCACAAGCGGUGGAGCAUGUGGUUUAAUUCGAUGCAACGCGAAGAACCUUACCUGGUCUUGACAUCCACAGAACUUUCCAGAGAUGGAUUGGUGCCUUCGGGAACUGUGAGACAGGUGCUGCAUGGCUGUCGUCAGCUCGUGUUGUGAAAUGUUGGGUUAAGUCCCGCAACGAGCGCAACCCUUAUCCUUUGUUGCCAGCGGUUCGGCCGGGAACUCAAAGGAGACUGCCAGUGAUAAACUGGAGGAAGGUGGGGAUGACGUCAAGUCAUCAUGGCCCUUACGACCAGGGCUACACACGUGCUACAAUGGCAUAUACAAAGAGAAGCGACCUCGCGAGAGCAAGCGGACCUCAUAAAGUAUGUCGUAGUCCGGAUUGGAGUCUGCAACUCGACUCCAUGAAGUCGGAAUCGCUAGUAAUCGUAGAUCAGAAUGCUACGGUGAAUACGUUCCCGGGCCUUGUACACACCGCCCGUCACACCAUGGGAGUGGGUUGCAAAAGAAGUAGGUAGCUUAACCUUCGGGAGGGCGCUUACCACUUUAUCCGAUUCAUGACUGGGGGUGAAGUCGUACAAGGUAG
rnacentral:rRNA from 1 species